rnacentral:rRNA from 1 species
GACGAACGCUGGCGGCGUGCUUAACACAUGCAAGUCGAACGGAAAGGCCCUGCUUUUGUGGGGUGCUCGAGUGGCGAACGGGUGAGUAACACGUGAGUAACCUGCCCCUGACUUUGGGAUAACUUCAGGAAACUGGGGCUCAUACCGGAUAGGAGCUCCUGCUGCAUGGUGGGGGUUGGAAAGUUUCGGCGGUUGGGGAUGGACUCGCGGCUUAUCAGCUUGUUGGUGGGGUAGUGGCUUACCAAGGCUUUGACGGGUAGCCGGCCUGAGAGGGUGACCGGCCACAUGGGGACUGAGAUGCGGCCCAGACUCCUACGGGAGGCAGCAGUGGGGAAUAUUGCAUAAUGGGCGGAAGCCUGAUGCAGCAACGCCGCGUGCGGGAUGACGGCCUUCGGGUUGGAAACCGCUUUCGCCUGUGACGAAGCGUGAGUGACGGUAAUGGGUAAAGAAGCACCGGCUAACUACGUG